ACCCUCUCAGGGUCGCACCUGGAGAGUUUCCAGUCCUCUACCAUUCUCGGUUAUGGGAGGAAGAGUCAAGCAGAGGCCUACUCAUUCCAUUCCUAGCUUGGGCAGUGGUUAGCGAGUGGAAGGCAAUCGGCUAUAAGU